rnacentral:lncRNA from 1 species
AACUUCUGCUGGGGUCUUGGAUUUCCAUACUCCUACUUGGUUACAUUCGCCCCCAAGUAAUCCAACGAUGGCACCCUAUGAACACUACUGAACCCCUACACAAGUUACUCUGAAACACACCCAUUAACACAUCUUUAAUAUUCCCAGCUUGAUUAAAGGUUCUAAGCGAGUUCACCAGCCCGUAGACUUCCAAACUUCCUUUGCAACAACAAAUGUGCACAAGACAUGAGUACUAGUUUUGUCCUUCCCACAAUGAGCACAAAAUUGCUUAUCCAGAUCACAGCACUUCCCAAUGUUGAACUAAAAAUUUGUAGCCGCUCCGAACUGAGAACAUACCUUUUCUAUCAUAAUCUCAUACUAGUUUACCCCCUCUACUCCGGACACUCAAUGGGAUUGAUAAAAGUAACUCUCGCUCAGGUGGCGUUUUACUUGCCAUUCUUAGCAACUUCCCAGGCCCCAGUGGUUGAAAUUAAGUCACAAGAGCCUAAAAGAAUCAGGUCCAGGCUACCAAUCUCUAUCUUAAUCCUUUUUGAAGGCUCAUGUUGGGAAUUUAACAUGCACAGCGGAAUAUAAACAAUAUUUAAAUUUCCAUCAAGGAUCUGAUACGAAUUAUACAUUUGUUGAAUUCUACAAACACUUUUGCUUAUCUUAAACACAAACAAUCACUAUUUAAAAUUCACAGUUGUCCAAUUAUCCAACUUCCAAUAGAAAUUCAUAUAGAUAUUUACGUGUAA